rnacentral:rRNA from 2 species
UGACCUCAAAUCAGGUAGGACUACCCGCUGAACUUAAGCAUAUCAAUAAGCGGAGGAAAAGAAACUAACAAGGAUUCCCCUAGUAACUGCGAGUGAAGCGGGAAAAGCUCAAAUUUAAAAUCUGGCAGUCUUUGGCUGUCCGAGUUGUAAUCUAGAGAAGCAUUAUCCGCGCUGGACCGUGUACAAGUCUCCUGGAAUGGAGCGUCAUAGAGGGUGAGAAUCCCGUCUUUGACACGGACUGCCAGGGCUUUGUGAUGUGCUCUCAAAGAGUCGAGUUGUUUGGGAAUGCAGCUCAAAAUGGGUGGUAAAUUCCAUCUAAAGCUAAAUAUUGGCGAGAGACCGAUAGCGAACAAGUACCGUGAGGGAAAGAUGAAAAGAACUUUGGAAAGAGAGUUAAACAGUACGUGAAAUUGCUGAAAGGGAAACGCUUGAAGUCAGUCGCGUUGUCCAGGGAUCAAUCUUGCUUUUGCUUGGUGUACUUUCUGGUUAACGGGUCAGCAUCAAUUUUGACUAUUGGAAAAAGAUUGAGGGAAUGUGGCAUCUUUGGAUGUGUUAUAGCCCUUGGUUGCAUACAAUAGUUGGGAUUGAGGAACUCAGCACGCCGCAAGGCCGAGUUUUGCUACGUACGUGCUUAGGAUGC